rnacentral:rRNA from 1 species
GGAUGAACGCUGGCGGCGUGCUUAACACAUGCAAGUCGAACGGUGAACGAGGGAGCUUGCUCCCUCCGGAUCAGUGGCGAACGGGUGAGUAACACGUGAGUAACCUGCCCUUGACUCUGGGAUAAGCGUUGGAAACGACGUCUAAUACCGGAUACGACCCUCGGAGGCAUCUCCAGGGGGUGGAAAGAACUUCGGUCAAGGAUGGACUCGCGGCCUAUCAGCUUGUUGGUGAGGUAACGGCUCACCAAGGCGACGACGGGUAGCCGGCCUGAGAGGGUGACCGGCCACACUGGGACUGAGACACGGCCCAGACUCCUACGGGAGGCAGCAGUGGGGAAUAUUGCACAAUGGGCGAAAGCCUGAUGCAGCAACGCCGCGUGAGGGACGACGGCCUUCGGGUUGUAAACCUCUUUUAGUAGGGAAGAAGCGAAAGUGACGGUACCUGCAGAAAAAGCACCGGCUAACUAC